rnacentral:rRNA from 1 species
UCGACCUGAGCUCAAGCAAGACCACCCGCUGAACUUAAGCAUAUCAAUAAGCGGAGGAAAAGAAACUAACAAGGAUUCCCUUAGUAAUGGCGAAAUGAAA